rnacentral:rRNA from 1 species
GACGUAGGGGGCCAGCGUUGCUCGGAAUUACUGGGUGUAAAGGGUUCGUAGGCGGUGUGGCAAGUCGGGAGUGAAAUCUCUGGGCUCAACCCAGAGUCUGCUUCCGAAACUGCCGGGCUUGAGUGUGGGAGAAGUGAGUGGAAUUCCUGGUGUAGCGGUGAAAUGCGUAGAUAUCAGGAGGAACACCUGUGGCGAAAGCGGCUCACUGGCCCGGUACUGACGCUGAGGUGCGAAAGCGUGGGGAGCAAACAGG